rnacentral:lncRNA from 1 species
CAGGGGCAGGAGCCUGCAGCCAGAGGCCUGCAGAGGAGCAGGGUCCCCAGGGGGAGUUGCUUCCUACUUACCGGGUCAGCUGCCUUAGUAUAAAUCAGAACAUGUUCCCCCUCUGCUCAAGUGCCUUCAGUGGCUCCCAGCUCACUGAGAGUGCGAGCCAUGGGUCUCCGGUGGUGAUGGAGCUGUAUGCAAACAGGUGGAGUCUGGCGCCCUUGAUAGCGGCGGGAUUGUGCCCACAAUGUUGCCUUUCUGCUGGAAGCCAACCUCGGAAGGAGGUGAUUUCGUGGGAAGCACCCAGUCUUUCCUGGCUGACUUUUGCUCUGUUCCAUGGCGUGGGCUCCAAGUCAAUAAGUGGCGUCAAGAAAGAUGGCAGAGAAAAAGCUUCAUGAAUCACAGAAGCUUGCCCAAUGGGAAAUAAACAGAGGGAGCUUUUCUGGGGACUUGUUGUGUUCCUCCCUGUCCUGUGCCUAUCCCCCUCACUCAUCACAGUGCUGUAACGAGGUCAGAUGAUACUCCCACUGACUAGAUAAGAACAGGACACUGAGAUGCUGAGUACUCUGCCUACAGUCACACAGACAGCAAGACAUAGAGUGAGGAUUCGAUCCCUGUUCUCUGACAGCAAAUCUCGUGUUCCUAGGGAUCUCGGAACAGGGACUCCCAUUGUGGGCCACACACACUCAACCCAAAGCUGAGCUCAGAGCUAAGGAGCCUGCUUUCCUCACAGCAGGUGCUCAGCCUGAACGAGGAGGAGUGCACCUUCACACCCAGGCUGAGCAGGUUCCAGGCCACUGGCUCUGGGGGUGGCAGGUAUCUGUCAUUCCUGAGGCUCAGAGAAAUUUGCAUUUUCUUUUUCAUAAGGGUCUUCCAGACUGCAGAGAGCCCCUGCAGCCAUUCCCUCAAGAAUAGAUAUGGCCUGAGUGGAUGGAAUAGGACUUGGCCCUGUCCCCUCCUGCUGUGUAACCCUCCCUGCACC